UACACUGUAGCUGUCUUCAGACAUGCCAGAAGAGGGCGUCAGAGCUCAUUUUGGAUGGUUGUGAGCCACCAUGUGGUUGCUGGGAUUUGAACUCAGGACCUUCUAGAGAGCAGUCAGUGCUCUUAACCGCUGAGCCAUCUCUCCAGCCCGGUAAUUAAUUCUUAAUAUAACAGGCAACCUCCAAGUCCCUCCCUCUCCCCUUAUGACAGACCUCCCCUAACAAAGCCAACCUAAUCCUUCCCCAAAGCUCCAUAACUGGGAAUGCAGCAUCGAAACACAGGAGCCCAUGGGCACCACUCUCAUCCCGCCGCACUGUCUGUAUUAACAGGGCUCAAGACCUUAAAACCUACUUUGGCAGGUUUUCUAAUGCAUACCAUCAGUUUUGACUCCCUCUUCAAGGGUCGUGUGUCCCUGAGUAAGAGCUAGGCAAGCAUCCUAGUCUUAUAAGCCGUUGCUGAAUUUUAAAAACAAGCCCAUUUUCUGAGGCGCGUCAAAGUAACUGAGGAGUGAUAAAGACUAAUGUUGGCUCCUUUAACUCUUGUUUCUUAUCAGAACCACAUUCACAGCUAAAGAAGAGGGGCCAUCUGUGCAUUUACAGCUAAAGAAGGAACAUCUAUGCCUUUACUUGCUUGUCAUAACGUCAAGCUAGGAAGCCAACUGACUGGAAAAAAAAAGAGGGCUAUGUGAAAUUCUGUUAGGUUAGAUUAGCCAUCUUUUAAAUGUCUUAUUUUAUUCUACGCAUAUGGGUAUUUUGCCUGCUUGAGUGAAUGUGUGCCUACUGCCCCCAGAGCCCAGAAAAUGGCAUUGGAUCCCCUCAGACUGGAGGUACAGAUGUGUGUGUGAGUCACUAUGUGGGUUCUGGGAUACAGAUACUCACCCAUGACGUCUGGAAUCACAGAGCCAUGUCUCCAGCCCCUGGAUCAGUCAUCAUCAAGACUGUGUGCGCCUGGACUUUGGAAGGGAAUGCACAGCUGAAGUAUCCCUGAACAGCCUUGCUUAUUAAAACAGAAUCCUGAGCACCCACUCUCAUCAAUCAAAUGGUGAAAGGCCUUUGUGGUGAUGCUUUCCAAAAUGGAAGGAGAUUUUAUUGCAGACUGUUGCUUUUUCCCUUUGUAUGUGUGCAUGUGUGUAUGUAAGUUGUGGGGGAGGAGCAGUGGAGGCCAGAGGUCAUCAGAUGUCCUGCUCUUGGCAUGAUCUUGAUCUGCCUUGUUCCUCUGAGACAGGCCCUCUGACUCAGAGCUAUGCUGGAAACCAGCAAGUGUCAGCAAUAUCUCCCCCAGCUCUGCUCCCAACAGCACUGGGAUUUGCAGGCACCUGCAAGGCCACGCCCAGUUUUUUAGGUGAGUAGUGGGGGUUUGAACUCAGAUUCUCAUGCUUGCUUAGCAACUGCUCUUACCUACAGAACCAUCUACCCCGCCUCUGGUGCAUAGCAUUUUAUCUUCUUGUUUCUUUUUUUUUUUUUUUUUUUCUUUUUUUUUUUUUUUCUGGAACAAUUCUCAGAAAAAUUUCUACUUUCCAAGGAACCCAGUGUGUCAAUCUUGUCAGCGUUAUCAGUACAGGGUUCUUGAAGGAAACAAACAGUUCCUUGUCCUAAUUCAAGGUGGAGUGUUUGCUGACUGCAUCGGACGGCUGUCACAUUUGGAUCAGAAGCCGGUUCAGCAGGAAUUCUCUUUACACAAUGGUCUGAUUCAUACAAGAAGUAUUAAGCUUGAAACUUGACUUUUUCUCUUUCCACAAAGCCAAAUGUAACUGAUUGGUCAUGACGGCAUCCCACCUCGGGAGAAAUCAACCCAUAAUGAGAGCACACGAAGGUUCCUUUCUGGAUAAAUAAAAGAGAUUGACCACAACAAAGAGUAGAGUCUUCAGCAAGAUGUCUACUAUAUAUGUUUAUUAGUCUGCCUUCCAUCUCUCUAACAAUGCCUGAACAAACCAACUCUGUGUGUGUGUGUGUGUGUGUGUGUGUGUGUGUGUGUGUGUGUGUGUGCUUGCGUGUAGUAUGCAAUGUUUAUGUAGGUUUGCUCGCCUGUGCAUGUACAUGUCCAUGUGUACACAUGUAGAGGCCAGAGCUGAACAUCUGGUGUCUUCUUUCCACUUUGUUUUUUUGAAACAGGUUCUCUCCCUGAACCUGGAGUUCACUGGUUCAACUGCACUGACUGGCCAGCAAGCCAUUGGGGUCUGCCUAAGACC
rnacentral:lncRNA from 1 species